ACAUCUUUCUCCAAACCUAUGUAAGAAAUGAGUACUUUUUUCUUCUAGAAAUAAUGACUCCUGCACACCGGUGUGAAUACUCAGUGAACUGCCAAGUCGUGCAGUGCUUCUGCGCUGACCACAGCCAGCUCUGCUUGAACACAGGGUCUUGGCAAACUCCCGGCAAGGCCUGUGUGACGUCACCGAAUUUCCAUCUUUUAUUAUCAAGCACACUUUGAAUACAUACUUGCUUUGGCUGUUUCCAAGGCAGUAUACAAACUUUUCCUCAGAUAAAAGCUGGCAAAUGUAAUGGAGGACCAAAGGAAAAGUGCAGGCAAGCACAUGAGCCCGAGAACUAACAACGGUAUCCCCUUUACAGUGCCUGGCCACCUGGGCUCAGUGCUGGGGACUCUUGGUUCUCUCCUCAGCCACCUGCCAUGUUCCAGGGGCAGGGCCUGGCCUACUUGGGGCAGGUGGCAAAAAGGAAAUGAGGCCUGGCUGAGCAACACAGACACCGCUAGGCUGCUGAAGAUGACCGGCAAUACGACCUAGGGGAGUUGCUCGCAGUUCUAAAGAUUCACAGAGCGGAAUUAGAAA